rfam:Bradyrhizobium erythrophlei strain GAS478 genome assembly, contig: Ga0132009_11
CAGUGAGGGAGGGUCUCACUCGGAUAAUUGUCGAUUGGUCCGGAAGCUGGCAGGCGACACGGCCGGGUAACUGGCUGGGUCGGAGCCCUGCGACGAAGGCGGCCUUGGGCUGCUGAGCGAUCCGAUGGGCCGUAACAAAG